rnacentral:rRNA from 1 species
UACGUAGGGUGCGAGCGUUGUCCGGACUUAUUGGGCGUAAAGAGCUCGUAGGCGGCUUGUCGCGUCGGAUGUGAAAGCCCGGGGCUUAACUCCGGGUCUGCAUUCGAUACGGGCAGGCUAGAGUUCGGUAGGGGAGAUCGGAAUUCCUGGUGUAGCGGUGAAAUGCGCAGAUAUCAGGAGGAACACCGGUGGCGAAGGCGGAUCUCUGGGCCGAUACUGACGCUGAGGAGCGAAAGCGUGGGGAGCGAACAGG